rnacentral:snRNA from 1 species
AUACUUACCUGGCAGGGGAGAUAUCAUGAUCAUGAAGGUGGUUUUCCCAGGGUGAGGCUUAUCCAUUGCACUUCGGAUUUGUGAUUUCCCCAAAUGUGGGAAACUUGACUGCAUAAUUUGUGGUAGUAGGGGACUGUGUUUGAGUGCUCCCUUG